AUUGAACGCUGGCGGCAGGCCUAACACAUGCAAGUCGAACGAGUGGCAGACGUGUGAGUAAUGUCGGGGAAACUGCCUGAUGGAGGGGUAUAACUACGGGAAACUUUAGCUAAUACCGCAUCCCAGCAGCUGUGCCCAGAUGGUAUUAGCGUGUUGGUGGGUUAACGGAUCCCCAAGGCGACGAUCACUAGCUGGUCUGAGAGGAUGACCAGCCACACUGGAACUGAGAAACGGUCAAGACGCCUACGGGAGGCAGCAGUGGGGAAUAUUGCACAAUGGGCGCAAGCCUGAUACAGCCAUACCGCGUGUAUGAAGAAGGCCCUCGGGUUGUAAAGUACUUUCAGUGGGGAGGCGUUACCCGCAGAAGAAGCACCGGCUAACUCCGUGCCAGCAGCCGCGGUAAUUC
rnacentral:rRNA from 1 species